rnacentral:rRNA from 1 species
AUUGAACGCUGGCGGCAUGCUUUACACAUGCAAGUCGAACGGCAGCGCGGGCUUCGGCCUGGCGGCGAGUGGCGAACGGGUGAGUAAUGCAUCGGAACGUGCCCAGUAGUGGGGGAUAGCCCGGCGAAAGCCGGAUUAAUACCACAUACGACCUGAGGGUGAAAGCGGGGGACCGAAAGGCCUCGCGCUAUUUGAGCGGCCGAUGUCGGAUUAGCUAGUUGGUGGGGUAAAGGCUUACCAAGGCGACGAUCCGUAGCUGGUCUGAGAGGACGACCAGCCACACUGGAACUGAGACACGGCCCAGACUCCUACGGGAGGCAGCAGUGGGGAAUUUUGGACAAUGGGGGCAACCCUGAUCCAGCCAUGCCGCGUGCGGGAAGAAGGCCUUCGGGUUGUAAAACGCUUUUGUUCGGGAAGAAAUCCUCUGGGCUAAUACCCCGGGGGGAUGACGGUACCGGAAGAAUAAGCACCGGCUAACUACGUG